GACGAACGCUGUCGGCGUGCUUAACACAUGCAAGUCGAACGGAAAGGCCCUGCUUUUGUGGGGUGCUCGAGUGGCGAACGGGUGAGUAACACGUGAGUAACCUGCCCUUGACUUUGGGAUAACUUCAGGAAACUGGGGCUAAUACCGGAUAGGAGCUCCUGCUGCAUGGUGGGGGUUGGAAAGUUUCGGCGGUUGGGGAUGGACUCGCGGCUUAUCAGCUUGUUGGUGGGGUAGUGGCUUACCAAGGCUUUGACGGGUAGCCGGCCUGAGAGGGUGACCGGCCACAUUGGGACUGAGAUACGGCCCAGACUCCUACGGGAGGCAGCAGUGGGGAAUAUUGCACAAUGGGCGGAAGCCUGAUGCAGCAACGCCGCGUGCGGGAUGACGGCCUUCGGGUUGUAAACCGCUUUCGCCUGUGACGAAGCGUGAGUGACGGUAAUGGGUAAAGAAGCACCGGCUAACUACGUGCCAGCAGCCGCGGUGAUACGUAGGGUGCGAGCGUUGUCCGGAUUUAUUGGGCGUAAGGGGCUCGUAGGUGGUUGAUCGCGUCGGAAGUGUAAUCUUGGGGCUUAACCCUGAGCGUGCUUUCGAUACGGGUUGACUUGAGGAAGGUAGGGGAGAAUGGAAUUCCUGGUGGAGCGGUGGAAUGCGCAGAUAUCAGGAGGAACACCAGUGGCGAAGGCGGUUCUCUGGGCCUUUCCUGACGCUGAGGAGCGAAAGCGUGGGGAGCGAACAGGCUUAGAUACCCUGGUAGUCCACGCUGUAAACGGUGGGUACUAGGUGUGGGGUCCAUUCCACGGGUUCCGUGCCGUAGCUAACGUUUUAAGUACCCCGCCUGGGGAGUACGGCCGCAAGGCUAAAACCCAAAGGAAUUGACGGGGCCCCGCACAAGCGGCGGAGCAUGCGGAUUAAUUCGAUGCAACGCGUAGAACCUUACCUGGGUUUGACAUGGAUCGGGAGUGCUCAGAGAUGGGUGUGCCUCUUUUGGGGUCGGUUCACAGGUGGUGCAUGGCUGUCGUCAGCUCGUGUCGUGAGAUGUUGGGUUAAGUCCCGCAACGAGCGCAACCCUUGUUCACUGUUGCCAGCACGUUAUGGUGGGGACUCAGUGGAGACCGCCGGGGUCAACUCGGAGGAAGGUGGGGAUGACGUCAAGUCAUCAUGCCCCUUAUGUCCAGGGCUUCACGCAUGCUACAAUGGCUGGUACAGAGAGUGGCGAGCCUGUGAGGGUGAGCGAAACUCGGAAAGCCGGUCUCAGUUCGGAUUGGGGUCUGCAACUCGACCUCAUGAAGUCGGAGUCGCUAGUAAUCGCAGAUCAGCAACGCUGCGGUGAAUACGUUCCCGGGGCU
rnacentral:rRNA from 1 species